AUUGAACGCUGGCGGAAUGCCUAACACAUGCAAGUCGAGCGGGGGUAGCAAUACUUCAGCGGCGGACGGGUGAGGAACACAUAGGAAUCUACCUUUAGGUGGGGGAUAGCCAGGGGAAACUCUGGGUAAUACCGCACGAUCUCGAGAGAGCAAAGGGGCGCAAGUCUCGCCUUUAGAGGAGCCUAUGUCUGAUUAGCUAGUUGGCGGUGUAAUGGACCACCAAGGCGAUGAUCAGUAACUGGUCUGAGAGGACGAUCAGUCACACCGGAACUGAAACACGGGCCGGACUCCUACGGGAGGCAGCAGUGGGGAAUAUUGGACAAUGGGCGAAAGCCUGAUCCAGCAAUUCCGCGUGUGUGAAGAAGGCCUUCGGGUUGUAAAGCACUUUCAGUAGGGAGGAAGCGUUGUGUGUUAAUAGUACACAGCGUUGACGUUACCUACAGAAGAAGCACCGGCUAACUCUGUGCCAGCCGCCGCAGUAAAAC
rnacentral:rRNA from 1 species